rnacentral:lncRNA from 1 species
ACCAAGCAGAAGGAAAAUUUUGCUAGAGAGAGAGAAAAAUCUUGUGAGAAAAAACUUCAGUGUGGAAGUUAUACACGAGUGAUAAAAGUGAGUUGAGAGAUAGCCUCUGCGUAGGCAGAUACAAAAUACAGUGUGGUAUUUUUGUUGUACUCCUUCUUUUGAGAUUCUCUAAUAUAUUGGUGUGGGUCCGUGGACGUAGGCAGUUUGGCCGAACCACGUUAAAAAUAUCGGUGUCAUUUUUUCUUCGAUUCGUAUCGGUCGAUAUCUAAAAUAUUGCGUCAUACUAGAUCCAGGCCGGAAUUAGUUGUGUCUAAUUUCCCAGCAAAUGUAUGAAGUUGGUGUGGGACCCAACAGUGAGAUAUUACUAAUGCCUGAAAGGUGAGACUAUAAUUGGAGUUAUAAGUGUUGGAAUUUUCUCUGUAUCUGUAAUAUGUGUUAAGGGUGGUUUAUUUGCUGCAGGAUCUAAAUUGUCUGAAAAAAAUUCACAUUUUUAGGGAAAAAGAUCACAUUUGGUUCUGCAGAAAAGGGAAAAGGUAGAGAAGAUGAUGCAGAAAGAAUCCAAAUCAAGAACCCCAUCAACACAAAUGACCUCAACAUGUUGCCAAGUAAAGUGACUUCAACACAGAUAUUUUGGAGUUGUUCAUAUAUGAUUGGAUCACUGGAUCAUCAAAUAUUUUGGGGGUUAAUAAAACGAGUUCCAGAAUAGAAAACAUCUCAAAAAAUUUAUACAAUAAAGUAGAUAGUAUGUAGUUACUCUGUACACGGCCAAAAUAGAAAACGUGUUGGGAUGUACAUUCUUUUUUAUUUUAUUUUUUUAUUUUUUUGAGGUCGUACAAUCUUAAAAUAUUAAUAAACCUAAAUUUCGAAACGAGAUUCAGUG